rnacentral:rRNA from 1 species
AUUGAACGCUGGCGGCAGGCCUAACACAUGCAAGUCGAACGAGUGGCGGACGGGUGAGUAAUGUCUGGGAAACUGCCCGAUGGAGGGGGGUAACUACUGGAAACGGUAGCUAUACCCGAUACCAUCGGAUGUGCCCGAUUGGGAUGGGCAAGUGGGUGGGGUAAGGGCUCACCUGGGCGACGAGCCCUAGCGGGUCGGAGAGGAUGACCAGCCACACUGGAACGGAGACACGGUCAAGACUCCUACGGGAGGCAGCAGUGGGGAAUAUUGCACAAUGGGCGCAAGCCUGAUGCAGCCAUGCCGCGUGUAUGAAGAAGGCCUUCGGGUUGUAAAGUACUUUCAGCGAGGAGGCGUUACUCGCAGAAGAAGCACCGGCUAACUCCGUGCCAGCAGCCGCGGUAAUUC